AUUGAACGCUGGCGGCAGGCCUAACACAUGCAAGUCGGGCGAGUGGCGGACGGGUGAGUAAUGUAUGGGGAUCUGCCUGAUGGAGGGGGAUAACUACUGGAAACGGUAGCUAAUACCGCAUAACAUCAGAUGAACCCAUAUGGGAUUAGCUGGUAGGUAAGGUAACGGCUCACCAAGCCGACGAUCUCUCGCUGGUCUGAGAGGAUGACCAGCCACACUGGGACUUAUACACGGCCCAGACUCCGACGGGAGGCAGAAGUGGGGAAUAUUGCGCAAUGGGGGCAACCCUGACGCAGCCAUGCCGCGUGAAUGAAGAAGGCCGUCGGGUUGUAAAGUUCUUUCGGUAGCGAGGCGUUAACUACAGAAGAAGCACCGGCUAACUCCGUGCCAGCAGCCGCGGUAAUUC
rnacentral:rRNA from 1 species